AAAUUGAAGAGUUUGAUCAUGGCUCAGAUUGAACGCUGGCGGCAGGCCUAACACAUGCAAGUCGAGCGGAAACGAGUUGUCUGAACCUUCGGGGAACGAUAACGGCGUCGAGCGGCGGACGGGUGAGUAAUGCCUAGGAAAUUGCCCUGAUGUGGGGGAUAACCAUUGGAAACGAUGGCUAAUACCGCAUGAUGCCUACGGGCCAAAGAG
rnacentral:rRNA from 1 species